rnacentral:rRNA from 1 species
CGUGUAGGCGGAUUGAUAAGUUUGAAGUGAAAUCCUAUAGCUUAACUAUAGAACUGCUUUGAAAACUGUUAAUCUAGAAUGUGGGAGAGGUAGAUGGAAUUUCUGGUGUAGGGGUAAAAUCCGUAGAGAUCAGAAGGAAUACCGAUUGCGAAGGCGAUCUACUGGAACAAUAUUGACGCUGAGACGCGAAAGCGUGGGGAGCGAACA